UUCAAGUUUGUUCUCAUGUUUGAACUUACUCAUUUGGUUUGACUGUAACAUACCACUUAGUUUACUUAGGAAAGGCUGAUUGUAUUAUCAUUCUAAUCACAGCUUAUGUAUUAUUAUAGAGUCACAUGUGGAUGGUAAAGAUGAAAGACCCUCAACAUCACAUACACAUCAGGGUUUGUCCAGUGCUGACAAUCCAGAGGUUCCUGCAGGCCAUGCACAGGGGGAUAGUGGUGUGGCAGCCCCAUUUGGCGGGCUUGGACCUAUUGAGUCAAAUGAAGAUUCCUGUGAUGAAGGAAAUAUUCUACACGGUCUGUACCUCCAACCAUUUACAUUGUUGCACAUGUAAAGUUUUGCACAGUUUUGUCAAGUAAAUAUUUUGCCCAAAGAGUCUUAUUUAUUUUAAUUUUGUUGGCACUUUAUAAAGUGACUGUUUUAGAAUAAGGAUUUUCUUUUGUAUGUAACCUACUUUGGGAAUUUACAAA